AUUGAACGCUGGCGGCAGGCCUAACACAUGCAAGUCGAGCGAGCGGCGGACGCGUGAGUAAUGUCUAGGAAACUGCCCGAUGGAGGGGGAUAUCUACUGGAAACGGUAGCUAAUACCGCAUACCCUCGGAUGUGCCCAGAUGGGAUGAGCUAGUAGGUGGGGGAACGGCUCACCUAGGCGACGAUCCCUAGCUGGUCUGUGAGGAUGACCAGCCACACUGGGACUGAGACACGGCCCAGACUCCUACGGGAGGCAGCAGUGGGGAAUAUUGCACAAUGGGCGCAAGCCUGAUGCAGCCAUGCCGCGUGUAUGAAGAAGGCCUUCGGGUUGUAAAGUACUUUCAGCGGGGAGGCGUUACCCGCAGAAGAAGCACCGGCUAACUCCGUGCCAGCAGCCGCGGUAAUUC
rnacentral:rRNA from 1 species